GCUUAUCUCUCUUUUGAUUGCUAUUUUUAAUUAAAGACUCGAUCUUUUUGAAAAAACAAUCUCUGAAAUCUUUGGUUUGAUUAAAAACCUGUCUUUGGCGCCACUCUUGUGGUUGAAAGUGAAAGAAACAUGAAUUUGAAGGCCUUGAGAUGCCAGAUCCUUAGUGGAUCCAUAGCCAGGCGUGUACUUCUACGAGCAUUUAUGCUUGCCACGGCUAUUUCCAUCAUUCCUUUGUUGCAGAUCUUGUCUGGGUCUGAUCCUGGGUUGUUGCUUGAUUCUGUGAGGUACAACGAAUGUGAUUUCCCCCUUAUGUUUAUGGGCUCAAAUUUGUUAAAGAAUCGAUUUUUGAAGCCAAUCUGGGGCUCAAUUGACUGCAAGGACGAUAUGAAUGUGACAACUAAUGUUGCUAGAGAGCUAAUGGGUAUGCAAAUGAUAGAUUCUAGUGCGAAAGCUCUCUGUGUCGGUGAAGGAUCGGCUCCUGCAGUUUAUGCAUUGCGAGAUUUAGGAUUUGUCAAUGCUUUUGGGGUUCACAGACACCCCUUCUUCUCUCUUAAACAUAAGAGGAUGGUUUAUGAGCUUGAAUAUGCAGAAAAUUCCUUUGACUUUGUGUUGUCAGGAGACCUAGACAAGGUUUCAGUCCCAGCCAUUGUUGUGCUCGAGAUUGAGCGUGUUCUGAAGCCUGGUGGAAUUGGGGCUAUUCUUGUUGGCCUUAAUAGUUUGAACGCCAAUAGCCUGAUUAGGUCUGCCAUGCCUGUGUCUUCAUUAUUGAAGAAUUCCAACAUUGUACAUGUUGGUUAUGUCAAUGAGUAUACGCUGGUUGUUUUCAAGAAAAGAAUUUAUAGUGUUGGCUACUUUCAGCAAUACCAGCUGCCAGCUGAUUGCCCAUCUAUCAUGAAUAAUAGACCUCAUUUGGAGAAUUUAGAACCUCUCACGGAGAUCAAGAAAGGGGAACAUGAGAAAAGCAUAGCUUAUUUGCCCAAUUUCAUUGAUUUGCCCGCCAGGAAGCAGUUAGUGUAUGUUGAGAUUGGGGGUGGCGAGCAUAUGAAUUCUAGCGUUUCGAGUUGGUUCUUGCCAUCUUAUCCCGCAGAUCACAGCACCUUCAAUGUUUUUUUUGUCGACCAUAACACCUCGGUCCUGCUUUCUUGUGUGAAAAAGCCUGGUGUUACCUUCAUUUAUUAUCCAGGCCUUGCUGGAGAUGAGGCUACUCUUGAUCCUGAUUUGGAAGAGUUCGAUCCAUCCAUGCGAGAUGAAGGGUUUGAUUUCCUUGCUUGGUUUAGAGAAACAGUGCAGUAUGCUGACUUUGUGGUUUUAAAGAUGAAAGCAGGGGAGGUCGAACUGAAAUUUCUGUCUGGUUUGUUCAAAAGCGGAGCCAUAUGCUUUAUUGAUGAGCUGUUUCUCAGUUGCUCAGAUCAGGACGGUGAAAAAGGCCGGGAGAAGGGAGACUGCUUGGAUCUCUUCAAGAGCCUUAGAAACACUGGUGUGUAUGUCCAUCAGUGGUGGGGAGAGUAACCACCAAUUGAUGUCUGUUGAACCCUAUGUGCGAUGGAGUCUUGUUUAAACUGUGUGUGCUGUUUUUCCAACGUUAUCGUGGUUGUGUCAAGUUUCUUGUAAGAAUGCAGUGGAGGCAUUCAAAGUUGCUUAAUGGUUGGGCACUUUAGCUAAAUAAUCAACCAUUGUCUUUCAUGUUGUUGAAUAAAUUAUUGUGUGCUUUUUAAGAUGCUGUUCGUGGUGAUUUUUCCUUUUUUAUUCUUGAAGUGUUUUGGGUGUCGUUCUCAGAAUAUGAUACUCAUGGAAGCUAUUAAUUAAUUAUUAUAUCAUGUGAUUGUGAGCCUCACCAACCUCGCUUUACAGCUCACUUUCUUCACAUCAAGGCAUCGCUUUGGAGGUCGUUUUCUCGCAUUUGGAUUCCUCGUAAUCAAUAUCAAAGACGUAAUCUUUGCUAAUAGCAUUCAAAGACUUGAUUAAUUAUUCAAGGGAUUCCAGUUCCGCUACUGAUAGAUGAGUGGAAGCCUCUCAUUCUCUGCUCUCCAUGAAUGUACUGAGGUUGAAACGAGUCCCGUGUUCUUGACUCGCAUGUUCGGCUGCCUGGCUUCUGAGAUCACCUGCAUUUGUAUAGCCUUGGCUUCUUGUCGGUGGACAAGAAUCUAUAGGAAGGGAAGCCGAAAUGCCGUGGUUGAUCAGAUCAUUAUCUAAUCUUGCUAUUUUCAUAAAUUAACUUUUUUCCAUUUUUAUAAAACGAAACAAAAAACCUUUUGUGGAUUAAUAAUGGUGGCAAAUUGAUAUUACCAGUCACUCUGUUACCGUUUUAUGCAAGUCAUUUUAUCCUUCCACCACAAGGAAAUGCCAUGUGGUUAGGCAGGAGAAUGAACGGAUGACCACAAUUCAAUACAAUCCUUUCCUAAAAAAUUAUGAAGCUAAAUUCAUGUUCUGUGUCGUAUUCUUUUUUAAUAUCUGUUAUUCAAGUUGAGAAUUAGGGCAUGUUUUUUUCUGCCUGUGAAUUUUUCAAUACAUUUUCAUAUUUAUUCUUACAGUCUAAAAUCACAUGCAUUUAUUAACAUAUACUAAAAGAGCUGUUCUUCUUCUUUUUUUUUUUUUUUACUUUAAAUCAAUUAUUGUAUACUAAUGGAUUGAAGUGGUGAAUUUUUUUUUUUUUUUUGUAAUUUUCAAUUUGUUCUUAAAACUUUUAUAUUGCAUGAUUUAGUUUUUUUAAGCCUAAAAUAACACAGCACUCAAUUGUAUAAUUUUUUUGAGAGGAAAGGUUGAACUAAAAGAUAAAGGACUAAAAGCACGGGUAAAGUAGGGUGGUAGAUUUUAAAUUUUUUUGAAAAGUUUAUUUUUACCCUCUAUUUUUUUUAGUUAUUAGGUAAUUAGUCCCUUUAAUUUUUAAAAAUUUAAUUUUGAUACUAAAUUUUAUUUUUUUUAUUUUCAAUCAUUUUUUUGUGAGAGGAAAGAGAGACUUAUCGGAUUUCAGCUUAGAAAAAAAAAGUUAUCAUUAACAGUGAUUCCAACCACUAAAAUUAUUAAUUUUUUUGUCAAAAGAUUUCAUAUAAUAAAGUGAGUUCAAAUUAGAUAUGUGUGUGUUUGUUUGUUUUUUUUUUUUUUACCUUGAAAAUAUCUAAAAAAUAUAUUUGAGUCUGAAAAGAUUUUUUGUUUUUGUUUGAUUUUUGUUUUUGAGGAAAAAAUAAUGGGUUGAAAAUGAGUUUAUUGAUAAAAAAAAAUUAGAAAUCCUGUUUUUUCCAGCCAUUGUGAGGAUUCCGAGAUGAUGUGUUGUCCUUUUAUUUUCAAAUAAUUAAAGGCCCGCGCACAGGUUGUUGCUUACUUCUUAGUUUGGUGUGUGACUUGGUUUACCAGGUCCAAUAGCAUUUGGCCUCAUUCAUUUUUCAGUGUGUUUGAUCAAGUUGCAUUUUGACUCGUUAGGUUAAUAAGAUCAUAUAAAAUCAAAUUUAAUUUAAAAUCAGGACACAACCCAAUAACUCUUCAAUUUUAAUUGAAAUAUAUUAAAUAAUUAUCUACUUGAGAUAUUAUUUUAUUGAAUAGAAAAAUUCAUUAGGGAUUUAAGAUGAAGGGCUUUUAAUCAAAUAGAUACCUUUUUUAUUUUGAUCUCUGAUAUCUAGAAAUUUUUAGGUAUUGUUUUUUAUUUUUAUUAAAUAAAGUAAAUAGAAAAAAAUAUGUUUUUUCAUGGAAAAUAAAAUUAACAAGAGAAGUAGAGGCUAUACUAGUAUAUCAUUUUGUUGCAAUAGGAUAUAAAUUAUUGGUUUUGAAGAUAAGUAAUUGAAAAAUAAUUAAAUAAGAAAAAUUUAACGGUUUUUUCAGUAUGAGUAUGAAAUUAUAUAUCUUAAUUUAUAAUUAUAUAUUUCUUGAUUGAUUUUUUUUUAUUGUUAACAACUUUCUUUUAAUAUUUAUUGGCUAAAAAAUAAUUCCUUUUUUAUUUUAUUAAAUACAUAUGUGGAAUUUUCAUUUUGCAACUAGAAUAUUUCUUGAUGUUAAGAACACUAAAAGCAAUUUAACUUAUGAUUCAACCAAUGUUUUUGUGUUUUAUAUUAUAAUCAUUGAAAUAAAAUAAUUAUAAAUGUCUUUCAGUUUUAAAUUUGUUUUCAAAUAAGAUUAUAACAAUAUUUUAUCUUAACAAAUGCUUUUUUCGAUGGUCCUUCAUAAAAACAAAUUAAGAGUUUCUAGCAUGAGAUUAAAUAUCUCUCUCUCUCUCUCUCUCUCUAUAUAUAUAUUAUAUAUAUAUAUAUAUAUAUAUAUAUAUAACAAUGUUAUGAUGUAGUCUUGGUUUAGUGAUGAUAACUUUGUUUUUUUUUGUAUUUAUCAACACAUGUAAUUUUCAUUUAGUUUUAUUAAAUACAUGUAUUAAUUUUUUAAUUAACAAUUAAUCUUUUUAUUAAAUUUGAAAAAUGCAGUGGCAAUGCUUGCUAAUUCAUUUUUUUAAGAUGAGAAAAAUUGAUUCCAUCCACAAUGCUAGCACAUGUUAACUGACUAGUACAUCAUUAAUGGAGGGUUUUUUUUUUUUUUUUUUUUUUCCCCGCAGGGGAUUUGAUGGACCGUGUAUCAUUCAUAAUGCACCUAAAUUUACUAUUGUGACUCUUUUUCUCUGUAGGAAAUCUAACCUAUUUAAACGUUCGAUUCUCAUGGAAACCAAGUUAAUCCUUGUUUUUUAAAAAAAUUAAGUUUUUUAUUAAAAAUUAAUUUUUUUUAUAUGUUUUGAAUCGUUUUAAUGUGCUGAUCUCAAAAAUAAUUUUUAAAAAUAAAAAAAAUUAAGUUUUUUAUUAAAAAUUAAUUUUUUUUAUAUGUUUUGAAUCGUUUUAAUGUGCUGAUCUCAAAAAUAAUUUUUAAAAAUAAAAAAAAUAUUAUUUUAAUAUAUUUUAACAUCAAAAAUACUUUAAAAAACAACUACAAGCACAAUUCCACACUCUUAAUGUCUUACUCAACAAGGGUUCUUUAAAGUCAAUAUAACAACAACACGUAAACCUGAAUUAUGGUAUCAUCUCUUAACAAAACUAUACUUUCCUUGUCAUAUAAUUUUUUAUUUAAAAAUAUAUUAAAACCCGAGUUUUUUUUAAAAAUAUUUUUUUUAUUAAAAGUUAAUGUUUUUUACAUGUUUUGAAUCGUUUUGAUACGCUGAUCUUAAAAAUAAUUUUUAAAAAUAAAAAAAAAUAUUAUUUUGAUAUAUUUUAGCAUCAAAAGUACUUUAAAAAACAACUUCAAGCAUAAUUCCAGACUCUUAAUGUCUUACUUAACAAGGUUUCUUUAAAGUCAAUAUAACAACAACACGUAAACCUGAAUUAUGGUAUCAUUUCUUAACAAACUAUACUUUCCUUGUCACAUAAUAAUUAUUUUUUAAAAUAUUUUUUAUUUAAAAAUAUAUUAAAAACCCAAGUUUUAAAAAAUAAUAAUUUUUUUAUUAAAAGUUAAUGUUUUUUACAUGUUUUGAAUCGUUUUGAUGCGCUGAUCUUAAAAAUAAUUUUUAAAAAUAAAAAUAAUAUUAUUUUAAUAUAUUUUAGCAUCAAAAGUACUUUAAAAAAUAACUGCAAGCACAAUUCCAGACUCUUAAUAUAUUACUUAACAAGGGUUCUUUAAAGUCAAUAUAACAACAAUACGUAAACCUGAAUUAUGGUAUCAUCUCUUAACAAAACUAUACUUUCCUUGUCACAUAAUAAUUUUUUUAAAAAAUAUUUUUUAUUUAAAAAUAUAUUAAAACCCGUGUUUUAAAAAAAAUUAAUUUUUUUUAUUAAAAGUUAAUGUUUUUUACAUGUUUUGAAUUGUUUUGAUGCGUUGAUCUUAAAAAUAAAUUUUUAUUUUUUUAAAAAAAUAUUAUUUUGAUAUAUUUUAGCAUGAAAAAUAUUUUAAAAUAUAAUUACAAGCAUACUUACAUACUCUUAAUGUCUUAUUUAACAAGGGUUCUUUAAGGUCAAUAUAACAACAACACGUAAACCUGAAUUAUGGUACCAUCUUUUAACAAAACUAUACUUUUUUUGUCACAUAAUAAUUAUUUUUUAAAAUAUUUUUUAUUUAAAAAUAUAUUAAAAAAAUAUUUUUUAUUUUUUAAAAUAAUUUUUAAAUUACCAUCUUAAAAUAUCUAAAAACAUAAAAAAUUAGUUUAAAAUAAAAAUAUAUAAAAUAUUUAGGCGUUCAUCUCCUAGGAAGAACAAGUAUGGCCGCAGAUAAAAUCGAGCAAGGAGCUAGGACAGCCUUUUAUCAUCAAUUUAGUUUUGUGGCAAGAAAUAUUUUAAUUAUAGACUCGAUCUGAUAAACAUAUCUCAUCAUAUAGCUGCAGGAAGCAAGGGAAGACUCUUUAAAAAAGCGCGGACUCCACAGUUUUUUUUUAAAAAAUAACUGUUAAAUUUUUAAAACUAUUAUAAUCUUAUUAAAAAACAAAUUAAAAAUUAAUUUAAUAUUAUAUUAGUUUUUACUUUUCAAAUUAUUUUUCACUUUAAAAAAUAUUAAACCCAAAUUUUUUAUAUUUUGUUUAAAGAUUUUAAUAUACCAUGUAAAUAAUAAUAAAAAUCUUUUAAAAAAAUUACUUUAAUAUAUUUUUAAUUGAAAAAUAUUUUUUAAAGUAGCUUAAACCACAAUACUAAACACAUAUUAACAACCAAAACACUAUUAAAAAAUAAAAUUAAAAAUUAAAAGAAAAUUAAAUUACUAUUCAAAUCAAUAAUAAUUUAUCUCUUCCUAGAGUCCCAAUAAGUUUUAAUUUAAAAGAUGUUUGGAAUUAUAGUAUAAAAUACUUUUCAAAAUUUUUUUAAUUUUAUUUUUAAUAUAAACAGAUCAAAAUUAUAUAAAAAAACAUUAAUUUAAUAGUUUUUUAAAAUCAAAUCUUGCCGUGAUUAACAUAUCUAAUUUUUUUUAUACUCCAUCCUCGGAUGACCAUAAUGACCUCAUCUCAGCAACCCACCAAGCACGUCCUCCAUCAACAAUCAUCUCUUCUGUUUUACCCCUUUCAAAAGUAGAGAAUCAUGAAGACAUUCCAAACCCAGUAGUGUUGAGAAACCAAACAUAUUCUAUAUUUCGAAUUCUUAAUAGUUCAAAGAAAUUGCCACCAAGGACUUGCAAAUGCUGGCUGAUGGCGUUGGCUUGCAUGUUUGGCACAAUGCCAGUAUUUUAACCUGCCACUUGCAUAUUUUCCCGUUUCAUUAUUACAGAAGCAGGGGAUUUGAAAGGAAAAUAAGACCAGCAAACUACUAUCCACAUACAAGUGGCAGCAGCACCUGUUUAGUCACUCAUCAGGCCCAUUGUUGACCUUUAUCUCUAGGAGCCUGUCAACUGGUUGCCUGCAGAUGGGGCAUCUGUUCGUUUGGAACCUCAAAACCUUUGCACAUCCACUGCACAUACACUGCAACGUGGGAGAAGAAGAAGGGUGAAAAAAAAACAAAGAAAGAAAGCAAAAGCAAAAAGAUCACUAGGCUAAUGUGUCACCAACAGAUAUCGACUGGAUUUCUAAAAUCAGAUUACUUAAAUAACCACUUAAAUGGAAAUUCAUGUCGAAGCAUUUUAGUCUAUUAAUUCACCAUGGUUACAUUGUUAAUGCACUGGCAGUAGUACACAACAUUCCAGACAGUUCAGCCUUGAACCUUCACAUGGAAUUCACAAGACUCUCUUAAUGCAGCAUUUUUGCAAUUGCAUUGGAUAUAGACACAAAACAGCAGGAAAAGUGUCAUGCUCAUGCCCGUUGCUAUAUAAUGUUCAAGGAAACCGUUUUCUGUAGCCUUCCUUCACAACUUAACAGAAUGAUUUUUCACCAUGAUAAAUAGUCCUUGCUUGAAAAACAAUUCCUAAAAUAUGAACAGUGGGUAAAGAGCAUCACUUCCUUGUUUCUUCCCCUUCAUGAUCUAAACUACCCCAGCCCAGUGAAAAAGGUAAAACGAGAGAGAAAGAGAGGCAAAAGAAAAAUAAAGAAAAUAGGGCUUACCAUGUGCCGGCAAGGAAGAACGGUAGUGUCCCGUGGUUCUGACAGGCAAAUGACACAUUCUUUACCUGGGUCAUUUGCAUCAACAUCACCAUCAACAGAAUUUCCAAUCCCGUAUAUCUCCUGAAGCUCAUAUCUCAUCCCAUUCACCCAGAGGAUCUGCUUCAUCACCCUUACUUGGUACUCACCUUUCUCCUUCUCAAACACUGCAUGUGUUAUCUGAGAGUUCAUAGCUCCAGACAUUUGGUUUCCUUCUGUUCCCUUUUGAUUAGCAGGGAAUGCCUCUGCUUUUACUGCUAGAGGAUAGGCAUCCAUCUCACCCUUUUUACCAACUCUUUCUCCUCAAACAAGGUGAAAUCAAUCCCUGUCCCAGAAGGCUGUCUGAACUUCUGGCCCAGACCUUGUUGGAAAUUAACUGUUACUGGUGGAAGGAGGUCUGCCUUCGUUGGUGUCAGGAUACAAUCCUCGCCUUCUUUUGCAAAGAAAAUAAUAGUGAUGCUGUUUGCAGAUCAAAGAAAUGCCGAGUGUUGCAAGAAAUUAAUACCAGAUGCUCAAUAACAAGAAAUGCAAAAGAGGAAAAAAUAAUUCAGACAUUCAGCUGAAAUGCAUAUAACCAAGAUUAAAACCAAUUUCUAUGACUGAACACAAAGCUUCUAUGAAUUCAAUAAACUCAGAGUGGAUCAGAAUUUAUGCAUGUCUUGCAAAAGAAAGUACCAAGAAAGCAUCCACAAUACAUCAAAAAGAUCAAUGAUGAUACCGACAGUAGCAAUUAGGAAAUACUCCCGAGCAAAGUCAAAUGCAUGGAAAAAAAAAAAAAAAAAAAACAGUUCAUCAUUCCACAAUCAUUUACCAUUCCCUUUGUUUAUGAGUUACUAAGCUAAAUGCUGAACGAUGAUUAUGAGAUUGUUAGCCAGACUUUUUCACAGAGUAUUAUUUUGUGAUAGAAAUUGACAUGAUUAGGACAAAUGAUCUACAUUUACUAUCUGAUUUCCUUUUAUAGAACACCAUAGUUUCCAGCUAAGAAAGUGACAUGUACUGAAAAUGAUAGUGUCUUUCACUCGAUUCAAGCGAUUGAAACUCUUAUGAAUGACAUCCAAUUGAUAAAAAUUGCAUUUUUGGGCUCCAAGCUUGAUUUUCCAUAAUGAUUAUGAGCACUUAAAGGGCGACAACUUUCUUUGCGAUUGAAACUCUUAUGAAUGACAUCCAAUUGAUAAAAAAUGCAUUUUUGGGCUCCAAGCUUGAUUUUCCAUAAUGAUUAUGAGCACUUAAAGGGCAACAACUUUCUUUUUUAUUUUUAUUUUUAUUUUUUUAUGAGGACACAACUCAAAAAUAAAAGGUCCACUAUCCAAUUACAGCAUACCACUGCAGAGGGCAAAAUGAGGGAGUUUACAAGCUUCCCAGCCCUUGAACCUUAUUGCAUGAGAUAGGAGUGGUGCUCUCAAGAUUCAAACCCCAAACUUCACAGAUGCAUGUCUAUUUUAACAUUCCACCAAGAAUGACCCCUAUGUAAUUGGAUUGGAAGAACAAAAAACCAUUCCAUUUAUCAGUCAUGAUAAAAUCCCAUUAAGAACAGAAUACCAUACAGUCUUUAAAACAUAGCACAAGCUGAGAAACCUAACUAAACACCCGUUCCGAUGUUCUCUUCACUGAAGAGUCAUUCAGAAAUAACCCCAGAUUCAUCAUCUCGUCAAUUUUGUGAACAAUCCCAAUUUCUAAGACAAGAUUAGAUGUCUUAAGCAGGCCCAAGGAUCUCUGAUUAGGAAAAUCCUCUGAAAUAACUUGCCUGAAAAUAAAUAUAUUCUACCAAAUCAAUCUUCACUACACAAAAGGAUAGGUUUCAACUUCGGGCAGUUAAACCAUUUCCUUCAAGCUGUCAAAUCACCAUACAAAACUCCAGGUAUGCUAAACGCAAAAUUCUUACUUGCAAGUAAUGUAAUCCCUAAUAAGAACGUCAAGUUAGCUCUUGCUUUCUACCAUUCUAUCCAAGGAGUAACUUUGACAUUCGUACAUCUAUAAAAGUGGAUUCACUCCGAGAACAAUCCUCAACAAUGAUAGCUAAAAAAUACAAUUUUCGAAUAUUGGCAACAUAUCAAGAUGAUUAUCACCAAGUAGUGAUCAAACCAUGUAAAAUGAAAUUAUUUGUAAAUCAUCCACUGACCCUACUAGCAAGAAGUUAAACCAAGGAGUCAACAAUCAAGAUUUUAUAUAAAUACUCAUUCAAAAUUCUCUCAAGUCAAAAACUUUCAAAGUCAAAUUACUUUACGAAGAACAAGCUCCUUCAACAAUCAAAAUCCAGUGCUGCUAUUAAACAAUGACGGAAAAAACCUUCGAAAAAAAAAAAAAAAUCUUUCUACACAUAUGCAAUAACAAGAGUACAGCAUCAAAAUAAAAACAAAAACAAUUUUUAAAACAAAGCUUUAACCUUUACCUUCCAGCAACAGUAGCAUCAAAUGUGAACGUAACAAGAUAGCUCCCUGGAUUCUCCUCGUCCGGUUCAAUCCUCAAACUCUCCUUCUUCAAAUUAACAUCAUUCCUUAUAGUAACCGCCUUCUGGUGCUCCACAUAAGGCGCCGGUUGGGGCAUCAUUGGGCACCUCCCACCCACCCAAUGAGCCGCCGGAUGGUCCACCCGGUGGUGAUGAUCAUACGGAGCUGGCAAAGGCACAGGCAUCGCUGUUGGCUGGGCUGGGUAGUAGCCAGGGUGCUGGUAGUAUCGUGGAGGGUUAGGGUUUGGGUAUUGCGAAGGGUAAGGUGUUGCCGCGGCGAAAACGUAACGGUUGGCCGUGAUUUCAGGCUGUGGGGGUGCUGGCGUUGGAGGUGGAGGGUGGCUCCGCCGGCUGCCGAGGCUCCGCCUGUUGUUAACAUUGUUUCUGCUGCUGAUGUUGCCCAUGAUGAAGUUUUGGGUUGGGUUGGACUGUUUCUGUCUUUUUUAGGUUCACAGUUUGCUAAAAAAACAGGUGAGAGAAUUAUCCAGUAGCUUUGUUUAGCUGUAACUGACAGAAGCGGAUCUGGAACUUUCAACGGUUCUGUUUUUUGUUUUAUUUUUGUUUUAAUGGCAAUCAUAGAAAGGAAGGAAACGAAGGGAAAGUUUUCGGUUAGGAAGGAAAUGGAGGGAAACAACGAGGAGAUUUUUUAUUUCUGCUUUUGUUUGCUGUUUAUACAACAACAACAAGGAGAAGAGAGGGAGGAGGAGGAGAAAUGAUUUUGCAAAAAGAGAAGAACACGAGGGAUGAAGAGAGGAUGGAGGAGGAGGAGGAGGAGGGGAAUCUGGGGGUGGGUGGUAUAAUGGGAUUGCGUAAAGCUCCACCCACAAUCAGAUCAUGCCAAAGUUGGCUGCUUUUUUUUCUUUUAUUAUUUUUUUUUCAUUAAUUUAUUGAUUAGUGGGAAAAAAUUUCAACUUUUUUAGUUGGAUUUGUUAUUAUCUAAAAGAGCAAAACAAGUUGGUAUUAUUAUUUAUUAUAGUUUGAGUGCGGUUGUUUAUAUUUGUAAGUGUAUUUUUAAGAAUAUUUUAUUUGAAAAAAAAAAUUAAAUUAAUAUUAUUUUUAGUAUUUUCUUAAUAGUUUUAAGGUGUUAAUAUUAAAAAUAAAAAAUAUUUUAAUAUAAUUUUAAAUGAAAAGUAGUUUACACUACAUUAUUAAAUACCCAAUCAAUACUAUUAAUUUAAAGUAUUGAGGUUCCUAUUAUAUUUGUAUCAUAUCAUAGUAAUUGUUUGAUUAUUUUCUCCAGAUAAAUAAGAAAAAAAUAAUAAAAAAAAGGGCAUGAAUUUUUAUCUAUUUUUUUUAAAGUAUAAAAAAUUACUUAAAAAUGGUUCCAAAAUAUAUGUGUAUGUGUGUGUUAUAUUAAUAUCGAAGUAUUGUUGAUGGAUUGAUCAUUGAUUCUUUAAUCAAUAUGCUAUUUGUCUUUUGUUUUAUCUUUUAUAUAAGAAAUAAAUUACAAUGAGAAACUGAAUCUCGAUUAAAGAUAUAUAGCAGCCUUAUAAAUCAAAGUGAAGUGUGGAGUUCUAAACUUAACUUUCAUAGGUUAAAAGUACAUGAGAAAGAUAUGUAAUAUGCAUGAAAAUCUUAGCCUAACCCAAUAUAUCCAACAUGCUCGGAUAAGAACAAAAUGAAUAGGUCAAGUAUAUAUUUUUUAAAAAUAUCAAAAGCUGGGUUAGAUAUAAUUAUAGGUCAAAACCCAACCCACUAUAUUUAUAAACACACAUAAUUAAAAUUAAGUAAAAAUAGUUUAUUGAUCAUGUUUAUAAUGACAAAACUUACUCUAACACUACCAAAUAUGAUGAUGGAAAGGUUAAAGUACAUUGUUUUUUUUUUUUAAUAUUAAAGUUAAUGUAUAAAUUAAAGAUGAGCCUAAAAUAACCUAUAUGCAUGAAAGUUUAUUCAAAGAUUAUUAUAAUAAUAUGAUACCGUUACUCCAUGCUUAUAAAGAUUGUUUUGCUUGGGAUUAUGAUGAGAUUCUUGAGCUAGCCAUAAGUUUGAUCAAACAUCCAUUAUCAACCUAACUUGGGUUUAAGACAUAAAGCAACAUCUUUUGAGAAUGACUUUAUGUGUGAUUGAUCAUGUAAAAAAGGAAAUAAAAUGAAUGUUAAAGGAUGGAUUCAUUAAGCCAACUAGAUAUGUUAAAUAGAUUUCUAAUAUUAUGCUAAUACUAAAAAAAAAAUGGAAAACUAAGAUUUUAUGUAGAUUUAAUAAAUCUUAAUUUUAUAACAUCAAAUGAUAAAUAUCCAAUGUCAAUGACUAAUAUAUCAAUCGAUUCAAUAGCAAGGAAUGACAUCUUUAGUUUUAUGAAUGGCUAUUCAGGUUAUAAUUAGAUUGUCAUCACUAAAAUGAUGUUUCAAAGACCGUUUUUAGAUGUCCUGGCUCAUUAAAAAUAUAUGAGUAGGUAGUUAUGUCAUUUAUCCUUAAUAAUAUUAGUGUUACUCAUAACAAGCUAUGAUUUUGUUUUUUCAUAACAUAAUUAAUCAUAACAUAGAGGUCUAUAUUAAUGAUGUUAUGAUGAAAUAAAAAUAAAAAUCUAUUUAUUUAGACAAGCUAUAUUAUAUCCUUAAGUGAAUGCGAAUGCAUAAUCUCAAGAUAAAUUCAUUAAAAUAUGCAUUUUGUAUGCAUGUAUAGGGGUAGACAAAAACAAAGUAAGGGGGGUUAUGAAAGCUUGAUCUCCAUAAAUAAAAAAGAAAUUGUAAAGCUUUGUAAAUAAAAUUAAUUUUUUAAAGAGGUUCAUAUCAAACUCUUUAAGAAAGAUUAUGUCAUUUACUAAACUACCAAGAUGGAAUAACAUAUAUAAGUUUCAAUGGAUUAAUAUCAAAUUGCAUUUCAAGAAAUAAAAACUUAUCUAACUAAACCUUUAGCAUUAACCAUACCAAAGCCUAUGAAGCCUUUAAGGCUAUAUAUUUUAGUUGUACAAGGGUUGAUUAGAAAAAUGAAAUUGGCUAUAAACAAGCUAUUAAUUAUCUCGAUCAUGUCUUUAUAGAGGAUGAAGAAUGAAAUAUUUUAAUAGAAAAACUUUGUUUAUCCUUAUGUUUUAUUGGUGUAAAGUUAUAUUGGUACAUACUAAUAGUUAAACUAUGUAUACUAUAAAAUAAAUUUGAUAAAAUACAUAUUAUCCAAACCUUUCUCUCACGAUCAAAUUGGUAAUUAGAUAUUAACAUUGUUUGAACUUGAUUUACAUUGUAUUCCAUAAAAAAUAGUAAAAGUCAAGCUUUGACUAAUUUAUUAGUUGAUCACCACUACCUUGAUAUCGACAAUGAACUGGAAUAAGAUAUGAAUGUUGUUAACGCAAGACUUGUUUCACAGAUGUUAUGGUUUGAUGGAUUAAAAACAAAAAAUAAAGCUUGUGCAUAUGUGUUAAUAAUUUCUCUAAAAGGUCAUAAAAUGAUUUUAUUAUUUUAGCUUCAUUUUUCUUAUACUAAUAAUCAAGCUAUAUAUAAGGCCUUAGUCAUAAUUUUAAAGAUACUUAUAGAUUUAAAAGCUUAAUAAGCUAGAGUAACAAGAUAUUCGUUACUUAUUAUAAAAAAGUUGGCUAGUGAGUAUACAUGUGAACACUAACUUUAUAUUAUACGGUAAACAAACACUUUAUUAAUAGAUUUCCUAAUUUAAUUAUUUUUUUGUAAGAGGAAAUAGUAUAUAAACCAAUAACUUGGCUGAAUAUGGAUCAAGAUUAAAAUGGUCAUCGCUCAUCAUGACAUUAUUUAUAUGAGGAUUAUUAAUUGACUAACAUAGAUAAUAUACAUUAAGGAUAUGAUGAUAAGAAAAGGUUCAUAUUAUAUAGUAAGAAAAGCACAAAAUAGUAAGAUAAAACUAUUGUAAAACUUUUCUACCAAGUAACAAGUAAAAUGUCUCAAUAAAUCAAGUGGCAUUGAUCCACAAAAUAAUUAAGGAGAAGAAAUCAAAUCUUAUGUGUAGUAUCCUUCAUAAAAAGUUUAAGGUUAUUUAGACUAAAUGUAUUCAAUUAUAUUUUCCUUGAAGAUGAAUUAUGUAAAAGAUAUAAAACUAGAAUUUUUCUUAGAUAUUUAGGACCAAAAGAAGAAUUAUUAGUCAUGAUUGAUGUUUAUAAAGGACUUUUUAGGGUUGUUGAUUACUCAAAUAUUAUUUUGAUAAAUAUGAUACCAGUUUAUCAUUUCUAUAUUCUAAUUGGGAGAAACUAUACAAUAGGAACUUAAUCCUAAUAAGAGACAUCUAAAAACCUCAUAAAAUCAAGAAAAAUAUAAGGAUUUAAGAGUUCAAAGCUUUAAAAAAGGUAAUUUCCUUCAUAACAACACCACAUAAGGAAAAUAACAUGUUUAAAAUGAAGAAGAUAAAUAAUUUGAAUAAAUCUAUUUGUAGGAAAAUAAAGCAAAGCCGUAAAGAAAGCAAUAAAAACCCUUCAGAGGAAUAUAUAUAUAUAUAUAUAUAUAUAUAUAUAUAUAUAUAUAUAUAUAUAUAUAUAUAUAUAUAUGUUCUAGUUAUUGUUCAAAGUGACUAUAUGACGUUUUAUAUAUUGAUACAAAGUUUAAAUCUUGUUUAAACAUGUAAAUCCUAAUUUAUAUAAAUGUAUAAGUAAAGAGACUUUAUUAGAUUAUAAUGCAAUCUAAAAUCCUUAUUUAUUGAUAUUAUAUGAAUCAUAAGUUAAACUUAUGGAUUCUUACUGGUUAUUCUAUUAAUGACUCUUACACUAAAUAAUACUAGGCUCGCUGUAAUAGAGAUAGUGUGAGAGAGCUAUGUAAAGAAUGUAAUAUUGUACCAUGUAGAGAUCUCAAAAGGAAUGGUGUUUUUCAAUCAAGCAAAUAUGGAAUUUGAGGCAAAGCCAAGAGUUCAUAAAAGGGUCUGGUUAAUGUUUCAAAAAUCAAUAGGUGUCCUCGUGGGUGGGAAUCAUACCUCCUCCAGGUUUUGCACUCGCUAAGUCCCCUAGCUUUCUCUUAGCUUGCCUUAUCUCUAUUUUGAUUGCUAUUUUUUUUAUUAAAGACUCGAUCUUUUUGAAAAAAACUAGUAAAACUUGUCUUUGGCACCACUCUUGUGGUUGAAAGUGAAAGAAACAUGAAUUUGAAGGCCUUGAGAUGCCAGAUACUUAGUGGAUCCAUAGCCAGACGUGUACUUCUACGAGCAUU
rnacentral:lncRNA from 1 species